rnacentral:rRNA from 1 species
AUACGUAGGGAGCGAGCGUUGUCCGGAAUUACUGGGUGUAAAGGGAGCGUAGGCGUGAGUGCAAGUCAGAUGUGAAAUACAUGGGCUCAACCCAUGGGCUGCAUUUGAAACUGCAUUUCUUGAGUGAAGUAGAGGUAAGCGGAAUUCCUGGUGUAGCGGUGAAAUGCGUAGAUAUCAGGAGGAACACCGGUGGCGAAGGCGGCUUACUGGGCUUUUACUGACGCUGAGGCUCGAAAGCGUGGGGAGCAAACAGGAUUAGAUACCCUGGUAGUCCACGCUGUAAACGAUGAUUACUAGGUGUGGGGGGACUGACCCCUUCCGUGCCGCAGUUAACACAAUAAGUAAUCCACCUGGGGAGUACGGCCGCAAGGUUGAAACUUAAAGGAAUUGACGGGG